CCGGCGGGAGGCGGCGGGGCGCGGGGGCGGCGUUCCCGCCCGGCUGGGCAGCGCCCUCCGCCCCUGAGGGACAGCGCGUCCGCCGGAGGGGCGAUCUGGGGCCGGGAGCCAAGUAGGGCGGUCCCCACAGCGCUGGGGAGCAGUAGGGGCUUUGGGUUCAUCUUCUGCUUUCUGAGCCCCGAGGGAACGCUGGAAGGAGGGCGGCACACGGGGCCGUGAGCAGAGCUCCGGGCCGAGCAGGUCUUUUGCUGAGCGCGCGGAGCCAUGCCGCCCUCACAGGUGGGAGAGCGCAGCUCUGCUUGCUUUGACUGUGUGCAGGCUCUGCUCGUAUCGCCCUGUACUCAGGAGAUAAAGGAGUUUGGUGUUUUUUUGUUGUUUUUUUUCCCCUUAAAUCGGACAAAGUAGAGGAAAAACAUUUAUUUUUUUUUGUCAGUUGUUCCACAUCCCUUCAUUUAAGGCAGUGUGUGGCAUGAGAAGCUCAGGAUGGAGUCUGUUCACCUGCCCUCCAUUCUUGGAUUCCUGCUUAGCUGUAGCCAUUACUAUCUGUCCUGUCCCAAAUGCUCUUCUGUUGCACCCUCUUAAAAAUGUGACACCAAGAGAAGUUUCAGCCACCACAUCUUGUAUUGAAGAGUCAGCGUGCUUCUUCCUCAGCCUCAGGAUGAAGUUCCAUACAUAAGAACGCGGUUAUCCCGUGCACAGUGCUCCAGCACAGUUUCCAAAUAGAGAUAGCAAAUCUGAGUUUGGAGUCACCUUUACUUCAGUAUUUUAGAGCUGCAGAAUGACAUUUCAGUACCCAUCACCAUAUUAUCUAGGCGCCACCGUAAGAUUAAGGAGCUCAACAUGAUCUGCUCAGAGGUCAUUAGCAGAGCUUUUCAUACUGGAGAAGGUCGGAGGAGAGUAAGGAAGUGCACAGCAGAAGAAAAGAAAAAGGAAAAGGAGGUGCUAUAGAAGUUCCUUUCGAAGUGUGUGAGGAUACUGUGAACCCAAUGGCUGAAGUCAUAUCUGAAGGCCUUCUGCGUCCUCCCCCAGUCCCUCAGGUCUGGGGAUCCAUCCCAGUGGUCAGCACUAAUUCUUAACUCAAAGGACAGGAAUAUUUUCUGCCACCAGGAAUUGUCAUCAGGAGCACAUCACUACAGAGCAAUGUGAGGAGCUGGGCUUUGUGUGGAAGUGAAGUGCAGUGGCUGCAGUCCAGCUUGUAUUCCUUUAGAAACCAAACUCCUUGAUAAUUACAGCUUUUUUUGUUAAUUUAUUCAUCUCAUUGUGCCAAGUUAAUCCCACUUUUUUGUUGUGCUCCCUGUACAUUUAAACGUCAGACACACGUAUCUUGGAGAACGGCAUUCUGCGUUUGCUUUCUGUACUCUCAUCUUCAGAGAACAGCAGAGACAGACUCAGUAAGACACCUAUGUUCAUGGAAGGUGGCACAUCACAGCCAGAAGCACCACCCCCGAGUCGCUGUCGGAUGCAGAGGCUGAGGAAUGAGCAGAACAAUGUUCCUGCUGCUGGCCACCACUGCUCUCCUCCUGCUUCUCCAGCAGGCUCCAGGCACUUUCUCUUGUCCUUCUGAUUCCCUUCCUGAAUUACUCCAGCCAAGUAAUUGUUUCAUCAUGUUGCACAGAGACAUUUUGCUGUAGUGUCACUGUGACAUUCAUUUCUAAAUCCAACGCUUCUCAUCUACACAAAAACAACUCGGGCUCGCACAGCUCUGUGCGCUCAGAUUGCAGGUGGGCUGUGGGAGGAGAGCAGCCCAGGGCUGAGGUCUGAGAGGGAUUUUUGCAUUCUUUGAAGGAGACUGUGAUUCCUGUUACUGUAAUUUUUAGACAACAUCAAUGAGCUACCUACCACAGGCUUAAUGAAAUGCUGUUGCAAUACGCUAGCAAACACGAGGUAUUUAUAGAAAACAAAACAACUGCUGCGCUUGUUUUAUGUGGCGAUGGGGACCAUAAACUUUCGUUGCUUCUCUGUCAAAAAUGCAGUUCUUUGUCUGGGAUGAUGUUCAAGACAAUUAAAACAAGGUCUGAUGACAAAGCCAGCAGCCCUAUAGGUGCUAUAGAGGGAAUGUGUGAGUUUGUGGAGGAUUUGUUAUUCUGCAAAAUGGAUGAAAUUCUGAGACCCAAAUUAAACCUCUGUUUAAGUACCCUGAACUCUGAGGAAAUACUGUAAUAGCUACGUAAUGUGUGAGUUCCAGAGGCAUGAGCAGAUGGGACAAGGCAAAAAAGUGAUGCUGACUGUAAUUGGCUAGAAAAUAUCAUUAGAACAGAAUACUCCAGAUUUGUGAAGGUUUUAAAGCAAAUGAGGGUUAAAUUUGGCUCUGCUCUGUAGAACUGUGACAAUCAGUCAGAAGGUGUGUCCUAUUGUAAGUGCAAAUCAAUUAGCUUCAGCAACUAUUAACCCAUUUAUCCAGUGUUGAAUUUCUACCCUUAUUGUUGUUUUUCACAUAAAUCCAGUUCCAGCCACCUACAUUUUCAGGAGUGGAAGGGAGAGCUUUAUUACAUUCAAACAGGAGGGAAAAUGGUCACGGAGGGGUUUUAGUUCCCAGUAGAUAAAACCAUCCAAAUCAGAGUUAGAGCUGUGCUGACCCUGAGAGCUCUUUACUGAGGCUCAGCAAUGAAAUGCUGCAGUGGUUGUGUUUCAGAGUCACAGGGUCCAUCCAGUAUCACUGCAAAGAGAAGCUCCCUCGGAAUUUCAUGUAGUUCUGGAUCAGAAAUCUUACAUGGUCCUGACGUCAGUCAAAAGCCAUACCUGAUCUUUCUAGGCUCUUACACACUGCCCAUGGAGUGGGCUGGGCCAACACCGCCCUCAGUCCCUAUGGAAGAAUCAGAACCUCAGAGAAUCUCAGGGUGUUAUCCGAGUUCAGAAUUUGUACCACAGUUUAGCUAUGUGUUGAAAAGAUUAAGCUCUCAGAGUAUGUUUUCAGUCCCAGCAAACAGUUACACAGAAAUCCGCUCAUCAGCUCAGGAAGUCUCUCUCAAAAGAAGAACCAAUUCCCUCCCACAGUUAACGUAUAUUUUUGGCCUCAUGCUUCUAUUCUGACAUUCAUGAGCAAUUUAAAAAUGUAUUCAGAAAUGGAACAGAAUUGUAUCUUUGGGAGGAGUUAACUAAAUUCCUACUUUUGUUUCGAUUCUUUGAUUGUGCUAGGACCUUUUCAAUGUUCACGCAUAGGUUUAAUUUUUUCUCCAUACUUCACAUUAGUACAUAAGUUUUGCCCUAAAGUUCUGACUGCUAGGCAUAUGCAUGGUUAAACACAAAAGAUGUUAAUCAUGACCCCAUCCCCAGAUAAGCACCUGUGACCCAAACAGACUGAGUGCAGCUGGUGGUUUAGACUCCCUUGUGCUGCUGCGAAUGCCAGAAAAUGCAAGCUAAUACUUAUUACUGCUUCAGUGGUAUUAUAAAUAGCCAGAGAAGAUGUGUAAUUUGGCCUCAUAUACAUUUUUUCUUUAUUAAAGCAGAUACUAAGUUGCACUGACUUUUAUUCUUGUCACAGCUAAUGAAACAGUGCUUGAAAACUACGUAGCAUGAGAAUAACUUUAUGUUUUCAUGCAUCCACAUCAAUAACAGCUGUUCUAGCAAUGAAAUUGUAAAGGUAAACACUUCACACAGCUGUUUUUCAGAUUGUAAUUUUGAUAUAUGAAGGCUAUUGCAGGAGUAAAUUAAAAAACAUAAUGUAACCAAUUGCAAUUGAGUCCUCCAUUCCAAUCACCUUUGGACUGCGUGUGCAAUUUGAACCCUUUUAUUUGAUAGAAGAGAAAAAAAUUGUAUAGAAACUGAGGCAGUUGUUCUGCACCUUCUGAGGGCCAGCAGUGGUGCAAGGGUCAGAGCACUGCCACGCAGCAUCUCCUGUAUGUGCUUGGGCAGAUAGGCAGUGACCAGCAGUCUGUUAACAGAUAGAAGAACUGCUGCCAAAAUUGUAAUGGUGUUUCUUGUUCUUUCAGUUUCAAGUGGUACAUACGAUUUCCUCAGCGGAUAUAAGCAAAGCAUCAGAUGCUUUGGAAAUGGGAAGUCAGUGCUGCAGGUUUGAUCUGGCAGCACAGUUUCUGCAUAGAAAAGAACUCUGAUUUCAGCAGUAAUGAGGAAGACCUGCAGUAAUCAGUUGGUGUCAUAAAUAAUUUGAAAGGCAAUAAAAAGCCCAAACCAAAUGAUUUUUGUAAGCCUCCAUAAAUUAAAAACAAACUCCCGGAGUAAGUGCCUUAACUUCCCUGCAGGGUUUCCCUGCAUCUAAGCUGUGAAGUCUUACCACACAUUGUACAGAGUCACCUUAGGAAAAUAAGCAAGAGAGACCUGGUGAGGAGACAACUGGGGUACACCUGGUACUGCUUUCAGUUAACAGGAUCUUAUUUGCAAUGGGAGGCUUCCUCAUUUGGAGCAGAGCCACUGUUCGGACAGGGAUUUUCCAAUUCCACCACUGUGAUUAGAAAAGGUAUUUGAAAUCUUUUGUCUGCUUUAGUACUAGAAUUAGUGCUCAGAUUCAUUUCCAAAUUUUUUUCUUUUUUUUUUCUUUUUUUUCUUUUUUCCCUAGGAAGUGUUUUAACUCUGGGGGCUUUUUCAUAUCUUUGUUCAUUAAGUAGGGUAUCUCAUGGCCUCCAUGCAUUGAGCUAGAAAGCUCUGAAAAUGUAAGCUCCAUAGGCAAUAUAAGAUUAAGAACGAAGUAUUCAGAAAUUCUCUGACUCUUUCCAAUUCCUUCUGAGAUUGGUGUAACACCAGUGCUCAUCAGUUAUCCUGUCUAACUGCAUCUGUCUGACAAAAACUUGCUGCUGCAUGAGUUUCCCCCUCAAUGAAGAAUCUUUCAUCCAAAUAAAGAGAUACACUGGUAUACAGCAGUAAUUUUAAUGUUCUUUAAAUCACAGCAGCAACACUGCCCCAACUCCUCAAGCAGUUUAAGGACAGGAAUUAGCUCAUUCGUGCCUGACAGAGCUCUAGCUCCGAAACUGGAUUAUUACUCAAACAAAUAUAAAUACCUCUAGUACAUCUUAUCUUUCAAUCUACUCUGCCUCCCAGCCCUCAUAAACUGAACUUUUGUUGGAAGCUCUGUCAUUUAAAGAAAGAAAGAAAUACAGAAAUAUGUCUGAGGACAUCUCCAGUCCUCCAGCAAUUCUACCCUCGGCAGCACUCAGCUCUGACUGGGAAUGCUGCUCGUAAGUGUGGGUAACAUUACAUGGCCUACAGCACAACACGAAAAUGGGAUCUAACGAUGUGGAUAAGUUUCGUAACUAGAAGAAUAGUAGAAUAAACAGCCACAGGAGGCUGGAGAAAUCAGCGUCACAAGGGACAGCCAAGACAAGAUCUAACGUCUAUCUUGCCUGCGAGAAUUUGAGUCAUGCAGGAGCUUGCUCACCCAAGAAAUCUAUUCAUAGGGUCUCAUAAAACCAACUUAACUGCAGUGCACAAAUUAAAAAGCAAACAGUGGAAAUCUGUAUCGCGUCUAACGCUUCCCUGCUCACUGCUGCACAGCUCCAUUGGAGCACUUAUGGAAGCAGAGCACGGCAGAUCUCCCUGAGAGCUCUCGGAGUUGUACCUGCCAGGGAAAGAUAGGAUCUCAAGUGUCAAAAAUGCACAGCAGCUCUUUCAGUAGGAAACAUGCUUUGCUGAAAGGAACGCUGGGAAUAAGUGACAGACUCAGGGUUUGUCCUGGAACCCUGCCCUGCCUGUAGCAAAUUCAAGUACUCUCUUGGUACAGAAAAGCUCCUCUGGAUUCAGUUCAGCACAGAUGAUUAAGGAGUUCCUAUUCGGGGCACUGGGAAUCUGGAUUUUAAAACAUGGUGCUUAAAGUUGGCCUAAGAGGAAAAUGGAACACGCUGAGUAAGACCCAGUCCUUCUCUCAGCCCUCCGCACAUAACCAGCCUGGGACUGUGAGCCGCUCGCAGAGCUCUGGCAGCAGCACGCAGGACAUGGGAGCAGCGCAGCUUUCCAUCAGCGGGCAGAACAAAGCUCCAGCCCGAUCUAUAGCCCAACAG